UGUGCCAGCAGCCGCGGUAAUACAGAGGGUGCAAGCGUUAAUCGGAAUUACUGGGCGUAAAGCGAGCGUAGGUGGCUUGAUAAGUCAGAUGUGAAAGCCCCGGGCUUAACCUGGGAACGGCAUCUGAUACUGUUAGGCUAGAGUAGGUGAGAGGAAGGUAGAAUUCCAGGUGUAGCGGUGAAAUGCGUAGAGAUCUGGAGGAAUACCGAUGGCGAAGGCAGCCUUCUGGCAUCAUACUGACACUGAGGUUCGAAAGCGUGGGUAGCAAACAGGAUUAGAUACCCUGGUAGUCCACGCCGUAAACGAUGUCUACUAGUCGUUGGGUCCCUUGAGGACUUAGUGACGCAGCUAACGCAAUAAGUAGACCGCCUGGGGAGUACGGCCGCAAGGUUAAAACUCAAAUGAAUUGACGGGGGCCCGCACAAGCGGUGGAGCAUGUGGUUUAAUUCGAUGCAACGCGAAGAACCUUACCUGGUCUUGACAUAUCUAGAAUCCUGCAGAGAUGCGGGAGUGCCUUCGGGAAUUAGAAUACAGGUGCUGCAUGGCUGUCGUCAGCUCGUGUCGUGAGAUGUUGGGUUAAGUCCCGCAACGAGCGCAACCCUUGUCCUUAGUUACCAGCGGUUUGGCCGGGAACUCUAAGGAUACUGCCAGUGACAAACUGGAGGAAGGCGGGGACGACGUCAAGUCAUCAUGGCCCUUACGACCAGGGCUACACACGUGCUACAAUGGUAGGUACAGAGGGCAGCUACACAGCGAUGUGAUGCGAAUCUCAAAAAGCCUAUCGUAGUCCAGAUUGGAGUCUGCAACUCGACUCCAUGAAGUAGGAAUCGCUAGUAAUCGCGGAUCAGAAUGCCGCGGUGAAUACGUUCCCGGGCCUUGUACACACCGCCCGUCACACCAUGGGAGUUGAUUGCACCAGAAGUGGUUAGCCUAACCUUUUAGGAAGGCGAUCACCACGGUGUGGUUGAUGACUGGGGUGAAGUCGUAACAAGGUAACCGA
rnacentral:rRNA from 1 species